AUAUCUACCCUUCUGCCGGCCCCCACCAUAGCAGGAGUCUCGCACGACCGAGAGAGUGUGUAACACUGUGCGUGAUACUUUUCGCACCCGGUGUGUGGAGGGGAGAGCGCGGGGGAUUUAGCAAAGGAGGUCAGGGAUGUGUGAACUCAAAACAAAGACCCAUUUUACUGUACGCCGCCACAUACUGUACGUUCAGUGGAAGAGCUCUUUGGCUCUGCCCCCUCAGUGAACCCACGUUUGGAAGACAGGUAUUCGAUGAGGGCAAUUUAUUCUCAAGCUUUUCGUUUGAAAGCGUUGGCCCGUGUUUUAACCCGUCACCUUGCAUCGUAAGUCCCCUUUGUCAUCUCACACUUUGAUCUGUCCCCUGUGUAAACCCUGCCCUGCUGGGCCCCGGUUCCACACUACAGAAAAUUUAAUUUACCUCAUAUUUUAAUCAAGCAUGUCAAACCCUCUUCACCUCCAGUGGCCGCCAUUCUCAACAUUCUGGGUGAAUAAUUGCUCCCACUUUGGCUGUAUUUCCAUCCACUUGGGGGGCAGCUGGACUUUUUUCGUUUUUUGUCAGGCCGCCAUUUUGGGUCCUGCGUGACAAGGCAGUCACUGGCUGGUUGGGAUUAGUGAAGCUGUCUGUGCGACUGAAACCACUUCGCGUGCCGAAGCGACAGCUCUGUGGGCGCUCUUCCACGCCAAGCACCGUGUUCUUUUGUCUGAUCCCUGGGCACACACGAGGUCAGCGGGGGUGAGGGAUCGGGGUGGCAGCGCUGAGAUGACUGCCCUCUGAUGCGGCUUGAUGGGACUGGGCUUCACAGGGGGAGCGCAGGGAGGGGACUCAGAGGGAGAAUCCUGUUCCAGUGUUAGAUUCCAGAAACAAGACAACAUUUCAUAGUCUUUCCUCCGCUUGAUACAUUCAAACUCACCAGACGUGAAGAGCACGAUGGAUUUGAGGCAGGAAUAUUCAGCCGUGUCGACCUGCAGUGCCUUCAGCUUCUCCACCUGCUCUUGGAAGACCCGGAUGUGGUCCAUGAAGGCCACCACGCGCUCCGCCGACAUGGGUGAGGCGUGCAGGCCGGCCGCCGCCAACAGAGGGGCCACGUGAAGCGGCAUGGAGCACUGGGCAGCGUUGAGGACGAAGAGCUCGCUCCAUGACAUACGGAGCAGCGCCACCUACAACACAGGAAGUUGAGAGUGAUUUUUACAGAACCUCCACCAUGAUGGUUUGCAUGUCUUUUUUUCUGGCAGAGCAUCUCAAAAAAUUAAAAUCACACUUAAAGAGCUCAUAUUGCAUGCAUUACAAAUUUGUCAUUACAUUUUUGUGGCCUUCUAGAAUCUGUUUACAUGCUUUAAAAUUCAAAGACACACAUUUCUCUUAUAAAACACUCGGUUUUAGCUCCUGUCUCUUUGAAGGAUCCCUCCAAAAAGUCCAGGCUGCUCUGAUUGGUCAACAAAAGUGAAGUAAUGUUGGCUAUACUCUGUAACCAGAGAUCUCAGAGUGUAGGGAUGUAGCUCUAGCAGCAGUGGCUUUAUGGAGGUAAUAAUAGUGGACUGUGAGGAAGCAGCUCAUUCUUUGUUUCAGGGCCAAACUAGCUCCUAGCUAUAGCCGAUAUGCAAAUGUGUUACACUGUGAGAUAGAUAAGUGACGGAAGAAAAACCUGAAGUUCAAACAAGGUGUUUCAGGCAGAUAAGGAGCAGAAAUACUACAUUCAGUGUGGAUUUUGAGCUUUUUGCAGACCUUCAACAUGCACAAAAGAACAACUAUAUAACAGGGUGAGAAACCCCCAAAAGAUAUACAUGGGCCUUUUACAUCAUCUGUGGCUGACAAAUCUGGAGUUGAGAUUUUUGCUUUCAAAUACAAACAAGCAACUAAUGAAGACAAAAUGUGCCUGAUGAAAAUGAAGAAUUAAAUGUGUGACAAUUCUUUUGAGAAUUGUUCUAUAUUUGAGCACUUCAUGUACAUUCUAGUUACAGUACAACCAUCUGGGAUCCAAUUGUCUGCCGCCUGAUAACUUAGACUCUGAGGGCAGCAGCCAAGGUUUCAGGGCUUUAAGUGCAGCCAGGGGAUAUCCAGAUAACAGAUACGCAGGUUAAGAGUUUCUGUUCCAGAUGUAAAUGACAUUUCAGUGAAUCUCUUUUUAAAGGCAGAUACAUUUGAAAAGAAAAAGAAGAUGUAAAAUCACCUUCAGGCAAAAGCUGAUGAUUUCAAGAUUGCAUUUUGGCCAUUAUGUUCAGCCUUCUUUAUUCGCCACAGUGCUGUUUAUCUGCAUCCUACCAAAACCCCUAUUCAGGUUUCCAAUGGGGGGAAACAUGAAAACCUUAGGUACCAAAAUCUUGCCCUUUCUCCUUCAGAUUCUGCAUAUUGACAUGUAGAUAUUUGUUUACAGGGAAGACACUACAGCAGGCUUUGGAUGGCAAUUACACCAAGCACUAAUUUGAAACUGGAUAGCAACACAUACAUUUUAAUCCAAAGUGAAAAAAGGCACAAGAUGAAUUGAACAUCCAAUAAUCCAAACUUCUAUAGGACAUGAUCAGAAUUUGGUGACAUUACUUGAAAGUGCAAACUACAGACAAAAGAAGAUGAGACAGAGCUUUAUUUAUCCCGAGGGAAAUUCUGGUGAAGUGUCUGUUGUUAGUUUGAAAGGCAGCAAGGAACACAAGACGAUGCAACAGCUUGUCUUAAGACAGUGCAAAGAGAAAUAUGCUUUUAAUCUAUACAAUAUGGAAACACUGUAAUCUGUACGAAUGGGUUGACAGCAUAAUUUAAAAACCUGAUGGAAAAGGAGUUUCCCAGAGGUGACCACAAUUUCAAAACACUAAAGUGGGUCAGAAAUAUUUUUACUUUACAGAGUAGAGGAAUGGAGCCUUUUGAUAACACGUUGGAAAAAGUGGGUUUAAGUGCUCACUGAGAGGAAAAGGACAGAUAUAUACUACAUGUUGACUUGACGUUAAUGCUAUAUUAAUGAUGUGGUACAGCUAUAGCAUGACAUAUUUGCAAUGACUGUGUCUGCCAAAGGUGCAUGUGAAUAUUUAUAGGUCAGGCGAUUACUCUGUGCCAAGACUUUACAGCUGGUGUAAAUCUACAUGUGCAGGAUUGAUGUCGGGUCUAUCGGGUCAUAUUUCUGCCUUCACUGAACAAUAAGUACACAGAUUUCUUUUUAUAUGCCACUAAGUGACGAUUACCAAAACAAGAAAAUAAAAAUAAAGCAUUUUCAACUGUU